AUUACUCUUGUUAUUAAAUAAAUUAAUUUUCACUAUCUUUGUGAUCUUUUGUCAUCAUCCCCAUUAAGGGUGUAAUACCCCUAUCGCUGUAAUAGGCCUAUUUUGACCAGGCCCAAAGCAUACCCAAUUUUAUAAAUAAAAAUAAAAACAAAAAUAAUUAAAAGUCCAUCAGUCCAUAUUACAAGCCUAAAAUCAUACAGACCAAAUACACCCCAGCCCAAUCGCCUUACAAGCCCAAACCAACUAAAUACCCUUGGCCCAAAACUGGAACAAACAGAAACCCUAGGGUUUCUGAGACUUUCAGCGCCGCAGCCAGCAGGUUCAGCCUCCGAGCCGCUCAACGUCAGCCUCUGCCACGCACGCCUCCACGCCACGUGCCUCCGUACACUGUACCUGCAAAGGAAACGAAGACAACGCAGCACACAAAAGAAC
rnacentral:lncRNA from 1 species